AAAACACACGAGGAUCUCUGGCUGCCUCUUCCUAACCACGUUCCUAACUCGUGGAUUGUAAGGUCAGUUUUACUCCCUGCCGAAGAUGGGGAUGGUUAUGCCUUGAUGGGAUUGUUUCAUAAAACAUGAAUGUUCAUGGAAGUGACCAGAUGUGGCAGUGCAGAAUGCAGAAGCAUUCUUACAGAAGCAUCAGAUAUGUGCAGAAUUUCACACGCGUUGUGCAACUGAAGUCCAAGUUUAUGCCAGAACUUGACAUCAUCUGCUCCAGGCUGUCUGCUGAGUGCCAUAGGAAGGGAGGAGAAACAGGACAUAAGAUUAAGGAGAUCAUGGCUGCCAUUGAUUGGAAUCCUAUCAUUGGCUCGUUGAGAGUUUGCCACCUGAAAGCACUUGUUGUGUACUUGAAGACCCCGAUAAACUCAUAAAGGAAUACCUGAGCUGCCAGAUGGUGUCAUCAUCACUGAAAGCAGUCAUAAA